GUGAGGAAUAUUGCGCAAUGGAGGCAACUCUGACGCAGCCAUGCCGCGUGCAGGAAGAAGGCGCUACGCGUUGUAAACUGCUUUUAACCGGGAAGAAACCCCAGGACGUGUCCUGGGUUGACGGUACCGGAGGAAUAAGCACCGGCUAACUUCGUGCCAGCAGCCGCGGUAAUACGAAGGGUGCAAGCGUUAUCCGGUUUCAUUGGGUUUAAAGGGUGCGUAGGCGGAGCGUUAAGUCAGUGGUGAAAUCCUGCAGCUUAACUGUAGACUUGCCAUUGAUACUGGCGCGCUUGAGUGCGCUUGAAGUGGGCGGAAUGUGCCGUGUAGCGGUGAAAUGCUUAGAUAUGGCACAGAACACCAAUUGCGAAGGCAGCUCACUAAGGCGAUACUGACGCUGAGGCACGAAAGCGUGGGGAUCGAACAGGAUUAGAUACCCUAGUAGUCC
rnacentral:rRNA from 1 species